AUUGACCGCUGGCGGCAGGCCUAACACGUGCAAGUCGAGCGGAUGAAGGGAGCUUGCUCCUGGAUUCAGCGGCGGACGGGUGAGUAAUGCCUAGGAAUCUGCCUGGUAGUGGGGGAUAACGUCCGGAAACGGGCGCUAAUACCGCAUACGUCCUGAGGGAGAAAGUGGGGGAUCUUCGGACCUCACGCUAUCAGAUGAGCCUAGGUCGGAUUAGCUAGUUGGUGGGGUAAAGGCCUACCAAGGCGACGAUCCGUAACUGGUCUGAGAGGAUGAUCAGUCACACUGGAACUGAGACACGGUCCAGACUCCUACGGGAGGCAGCAGUGGGGAAUAUUGGACAAUGGGCGAAAGCCUGAUCCAGCCAUGCCGCGUGUGUGAAGAAGGUCUUCGGAUUGUAAAGCACUUUAAGUUGGGAGGAAGGGCAGUAAGUUAAUACCUUGCUGUUUUGACGUUACCAACAGAAUAAGCACCGGCUAACUUCGUG
rnacentral:rRNA from 1 species